rnacentral:rRNA from 1 species
UACGUAGGGUCCGAGCGUUGUCCGGAUUUAUUGGGCGUAAAGAGCUCGUAGGCGGUUCCGUAAGUCAGAUGUGAAAACUCAGGGCUCAACCCGGAGACGCCAUCUGAUACUGCGGUGACUGGAGUCUGGUAGGGGAACACGGAAUUCCUGGUGUAGCGGUGAAAUGCGCAGAUAUCAGGAGGGACACCGAUGGCGAAGGCAGUGUUCUGGGCCAGUACUGACGCUGAGGAGCGAAAGCGUGGGGAGCAAACAGG